GGAUAGCUCAGUCGGUAGAGCAUGAGACUCUUAAUCUCAGGGUUGUGGGUUCGAGCCCCAUGUUGGGCA